GAUGAACGCUGGCGGCGUGCCUAAUACAUGCAAGUCGAGCGAACAGACGAGGAGCUUGCUCCUCUGACGUUAGCGGCGGACGGGUGAGUAACACGUGGAUAACCUACCUAUAAGACUGGGAUAACUUCGGGAAACCGGAGCUAAUACCGGAUAAUAUAUUGAACCGCAUGGUUCAAUAGUGAAAGACGGUUUUGCUGUCACUUAUAGAUGGAUCCCGGCCGCAUUAGCUAGUUGGUAAGGUAACGGCUUACCAAGGCAACGAUGCGUAGCCGACCUGAGAGGGUGAUCGGCCACACUAGAACUGAGACACGGUCCAGACUCCUAAGGGAGGCAGCAGUAGGGAAUCUUCCGCAAUGGGCGAAAGCCUGACGGAGCAACGCCGCGUGAGUGAUGAAGGUCUUCGGAUCGUAAAACUCUGUUAUUAGGGAAGAACAAAUGUGUAAGUAACUAUGCACGUCUUGACGGUACCUAAUCAGAAAGCCACGGCUAACUACGUG
rnacentral:rRNA from 1 species